GAUGAACGCUGGCGGCGUGCCUAAUACAUGCAAGUCGAGCGAACAGACGAGGAGCUUGCUCCUCUGACGUUAGCGGCGGACGGGUGAGUAACACGUGGAUAACCUACCUAUAAGACGGGGAUAACUUCGGGAAACCGGAGCUAAUACCGGAUAAUAUAGUGAACCGCAUGGUUCAAUAGGGAAAGACGGUUUUGCGGUCACUUAUAGAUGGAUCCGCGCCGCAUUAGCUAGUUGGUAAGGUAACGGCCUACCAAGGCAACGAUGCGUAGCCGACCUGAGAGGGUGAUCGGCCACACUGGAACUGAGACACGGUCCAGACUCCUACGGGAGGCAGCAGUAGGGAAUCUUCCGCAAUGGGCGAAAGCCUGACGGAGCAACGCCGCGUGAGUGAUGAAGGUCUUCGGAUCGUAAAACUCUGUUAUUAGGGAAGAACAAAUGUGUAAGUAACUAUGCACGUCUUGACGGUACCUAAUCAGAAAGCCCCGGCUAACUACGUG
rnacentral:rRNA from 1 species